UCAACCCUGCUGUGUGCGUGAUGGGCUUCGUGUCUUGAGCCAACGCCACUUGAAAGGGAAUCGACAUACGCAGAGGGGAUGUAGUAGCUGUACGGCAAGGCAGAGUCCUCGCGAAAAAGUUCCCACCUGCAUAAGCAGGUUCAAGUAUAGAUGUCCACACGGCAUGGCGGGGCUGCA
rnacentral:other from 1 species